UGGGGAAUAUUGGACAAUGGGGGAAACCCUGAUCCAGCAAUGCCGCGUGGGUGAAGAAGGCCUGCGGGUUGUAAAGCCCUUUCGGUGAGGACAAAACGCGACGUGCUAAUACCACGUUGUUUUGAUUUAACUCACUAAAGAAGCACCGGCUAACUCUGUGCCAGCAGCCGCGGUAAUACAGAGGGUGCAAGCGUUAAUCGGAAUUACUGGGCGUAAAGCGCACGUAGGUGGCUGGGUAAGUUGGAUGUGAAAUCCCCGGGCUUAACUUGGGAAUUGCAUUCAAGACUGCCUUGCUAGAGUGUGGAAGAGGGAAGCGGAAUUCCAGGUGUAGCGGUGAAAUGCGUAGAUAUCUGGAGGAACAUCAGUGGCGAAGGCGGCUUCCUGGUCCAACACUGACACUGAGGUGCGAAAGCGUGGGGAGCAAAC
rnacentral:rRNA from 1 species